ensembl:lncRNA
GACUCAGCCGUGUUCCGAGGGCCGCCGCACCCGGCGUUCCUCCCCGAGCCCUCACUGUUCCCGGGGCGGAGCUGCCUCGGCUGCUCUCACACGUGGAGGAGGAGGCCGCCGCCAGGCUCUCACAGGCGGAGGAGGAGGAGGCCACUAGGCCCUCACAGGUGGAGGAGGAGGCCGCCGGGCCCUUCACAGGCGGAGGAGGAGGAGGCCGCCGGGCCCUUCACAGGCGGAGGAGGAGGCAGCCGGGCCCUUCACAGGCGGAGGAGGGGCCGCCGGGGCCUCACAGGCGGAGGAGGAGGAGAAGGAGGCCACCGGGCCCUUCACAGGCAGAGGAGGAGGAGGUGGAGGCCAGGCUCUCACACGGAGGAGGAGGAGGCCGCCGGGCGCCUCACAGGCGAGGAGGAGGGGCCGCCGGGGCCUCACAGGGGGAGGAGGAGGAGGCGGCCGCCGGGCCCUUCACAGGCAGAGGAGGAGGAGGUGGAGGCCGGGCUCUCGCACGGAGGAGGAGGAGGAGGAGGCCGCCGGGCCCUUCACAGGCGGCGGCGGCGGAGGAGGCCGCCGGGCCCUUCACAGGCGGAGGAGGAGGAGGUGGAGGCCAGGCUCUCACACGGAGGAGGAGGAGGCCACCGGGCCCUUCACAGGCGGAGGAGGAGGAGGCCGCCGGGCCCUUCACAGGCGGAGGAGGAGGAGGCCGCCGGGCCCUUCACAGGCGGAGGGGUAGGAGAAGGAGGCCACCGGGCCCUUCACAGGCAGAGGAGGAGGAGGCAGCCGGAGGCAGCCGGGCCCUUCACAGGCAGAGGAGGAGGAGGUGGAGGCCAGGCUCUCACACGGAGGAGGAGGAGGCCACCGGGCCCUUCACAGGCGGAGGAGGAGGAGGCCGCCGGGCCCUUCACAGGUGGAGAAAGAGGCCGCCGGGCGCCUCACAGGCGGAGGAGGAGGAGGCCGCCGGGCGCCUCACAGGCAGAAGAGGAGGCGGCCGCCGGGCCCUUCACAGGUGGAGAAAGAGGCCGCCGGGCGCCUCACAGGCGGAGGAGGAGGAGGCCGCCGGGCCCUUCACAGGCGGAGGAGGGGCCGCCGGGGCCUCACAGGCAGAGGAGGAGGAGAAGGAGGCCACCGGGCCCUUCACAGGCAGAGGAGGAGGAGGCAGCCGGAGGCAGCCGGGCCCUUCACAGGCAGAGGAGGAGGAGGUGGAGGCCAGGCUCUCACACGGAGGAGGAGGAGGAGGCCACCGGGCGCCUCACAGGCGGAGGAGGGGCCGCCGGGGCCUCACAGGGGGAGGAGGAGGCGGCCGCCGGGCCCUUCACAGGCAGAGGAGGAGGAGGUGGAGGCCGGGCUCUCGCACGGAGGAGGAGGAGGAGGAGGCCGCUGGACGCCUCACAGGCGGCGGCGGAGGAGGAGGCCGCCGGGCGCCUCACAGGCGGCGGAGGAGGAGGAGGCCGCCGGGCCCUUCACGAAGAAGGAGGAGGAGGCCGCGGGCCCCUUCACAGGCAAAGGAGGAGGAGGUGGCAGCCGGGCUCUCACACGGAGGAGGACGAGGAGGCCACCAGGCCCUCACUGCUGGAGGAGGAGGCCGCCGAGCUUUUCACAGGCCAGGGAGGAGGAGGCCACCUGGCCCUUCGCGGGAGAGCAAUGCCGGGGCGCAGGCGCUCUAGCCCGGCCUGUGGGAGAGGACUCUCCCGGAGCCAGGGAGAGUGGACGGUGGCCCUCACCUGGGUCACACACCAGAAUCAUCUGAGAAGCUCUCCGAGACACGCCCAGAUCUGUGGCCCAGGCAGACGGGUCUGA